CUAUGCUCCCUUAGGUCAGCGGCGGACGGGUGAGUAACACGUGGGUAACCUGCCUGUAAGACUGGGAUAACUCCGGGAAACCGGGGCUAAUACCGGAUGCUUGAUUGAACCGCAUGGUUCAAUCAUAAAAGGUGGCUUUUAGCUACCACUUACAGAUGGACCCGCGGCGCAUUAGCUAGUUGGUGAGGUAACGGCUCACCAAGGCGACGAUGCGUAGCCGACCUGAGAGGGUGAUCGGCCACACUGGGACUGAGACACGGCCCAGACUCCUACGGGAGGCAGCAGUAGGGAAUCUUCCGCAAUGGACGAAAGUCUGACGGAGCAACGCCGCGUGAGUGAUGAAGGUUUUCGGAUCGUAAAACUCUGUUGUUAGGGAAGAACAAGUACCGUUCGAAUAGGGCGGGACCUUGACGGUACCUAACCAGAAAGCCACGGCUAACUACGUGCCAGCAGCCGCGGUAAUACGUAGGUGGCAAGCGUUGUCCGGAAUUAUUGGGCGUAAAGCGCGCGCAGGCGGUUUCUUAAGUCUGAUGUGAAAGCCCCCGGCUCAACCGGGGAGGGUCAUUGGAAACUGGGGAACUUGAGUGCAGAAGAGGAGAGUGGAAUUCCACGUGUAGCGGUGAAAUGCGUAGAGAUGUGGAGGAACACCAGUGGCGAAGGCGACUCUCUGGUCUGUAACUGACGCUGAGGCGCGAAAGCGUGGGGAGCGAACAGGAUUAGAUACCCUGGUAGUCCACGCCGUAAACGAUGAGUGCUAAGUGUUAGAGGGUUUCCGCCCUUUAGUGCUGCAGCAAACGCAUUAAGCACUCCGCCUGGGGAGUACGGUCGCAAGACUGAAACUCAAAGGAAUUGACGGGGGCCCGCACAAGCGGUGGAGCAUGUGGUUUAAUUCGAAGCAACGCGAAGAACCUUACCAGGUCUUGACAUCCUCUGACAACCCUAGAGAUAGGGCUUCCCCUUCGGGGGCAGAGUGACAGGUGGUGCAUGGUUGGUC
rnacentral:rRNA from 1 species